rnacentral:lncRNA from 1 species
GCAGGUACGUGAGUGCCUCAACACAACAAGUGAGACAGAAGCUUCCACAAGGUCUUCCAAAUACCUCGGACCUCACUUUGAUCUCCUUAGUCCAUUCUUUCUUGGAGCUAAGUAGCCACGGUGUAAGGAAAUCCAGGUUUAUUCAUUUCCUAGGACCAACAUGGCAAGAGAUGCUUUAUACUGGAAGAAUAUUAUUUUAUAAUUCUGGAAGCUAAAGUCUGAACUGAAGAGGGCUUACUGGCCAGAAGAGGACACCAGCUCUCACUAUACAUGGUUGUGAAACACCAUGUGGUUGCUGCGAAUUGAACUCAGGACCUCUGGAAGAGCAGUCAGUGUUCUUAAUCGGUAUGAAGUGAUGAGAAGCAAUCGUAAACUCACGUGUACUGUUAGCCUUAUCACUAGUCUGCACAUAGGUACGGAGUGAUGAGAAACAAUGGUACACUACUGGCUAGUAAAAGCUCAGGGAGGAGCUGAGAGCUACAGCCCAAGAGAGGGGAGAAGCAGCGGGGUCAGAGGUUGGAGGAGAUCACCUUUCUCAUUAUUGUUCAUAUCACCAAUGCUUUAUUUUCAAUGUGUAUUAUAUUGGAUGUGGAUAAUUAUUACUAUCUGGAUUAUCAUAAUUUUAUCUAUUUGCCUUUUAA